GACACAUUGAACAUCGACAUUUCGAACGCACAUUGCGGAAUCGGGUUCUUCCCGGUUCCAGGUUCUCUUGACGGCGUCUUU
rnacentral:rRNA from 1 species